UGGAAACAAAGUGAAUGGGUAACAGACCCUGC
rnacentral:piRNA from 1 species